GGAAUAUUGCGCAAUGGGCGAAAGCCUGACGCAGCGACGCCGCGUGGGGGAGGAAGGCCUCAGGGUUGUAAACCCCUGUCAGGUGGGACGAACCCCGAUACGUCGAACAGGCGUAUCGAUUGACGGUACCACCAGAGGAAGCUCCGGCUACCUCCGUGCCAGCAGCCGCGGUAAUACGGAGGGAGCAAGCGUUGUUCGGAAUUACUGGGCGUAAAGGGCGCGUAGGCGGCCUGAUAAGUCGCAUGUGAAAGGCCGGGGCUCAACCCCGAGCACUGCAUGCGAUACUGUCUGGCUAGAGAGAGGUAGGGGCGAGCGGAAUUCCCGGUGUAGCGGUGGAAUGCGUAGAUAUCGGGAAGAACACCUGUGGCGAAGGCGGCUCGCUGGACCUUUUCUGACGCUGAAGCGCGAAAGCGUGGGGAGCAAAC
rnacentral:rRNA from 1 species